CCCUUAGAUGUCCUGGGCCGCACGCGCGUUACACUGAUGCAUUCAACGAGCUUAUAACCUUGGCCGAGAGGCCUGGGCAAUCUUGUAACGUGCAUCGUGAUAGGGAUAGAUUAUUGAAAUUAUUAAUCUUGAACGAGGAAUUCCUAGUAAACGCAGAUCAUCAAUCUGCAUUGAUUACGUCCCUGCCCUUUGUACACACCGCCCGUCACACCUACCGAUUGGAUGGUCCGGUGAAGCCUCGGGAUUGUGGUUCUUGCCGCUUUAUUGUGGCGUGACCGCGAGAACUUGUCUAAACCUUAUCAUCUAGAGGAAGGUGAAGUCGUAACA
rnacentral:rRNA from 1 species